CGCCUGGGGAGUGCAGAGACAGGUGCUGCAUGGCUGUCGUCAGCUCGUGUUGUGAAAUGUUGGGUUAAGUCCCGUAACGAGCGCAACCCUUGUCCUUAUUUGCCAGCGCGUAAUGGCGGGAACUCUAAGGAGACUGCCGGUGACAAACCGGAGGAAGGUGGGGACGACGUCAAGUCAUCAUGGCCCUUACGAGUAGGGCUACACACGUGCUACAAUGGUCGGUACAAAGGGUUGCCAACUCGCGAGAGUGAGCCAAUCCCGAAAAGCCGAUCUCAGUCCGGAUCGGAGUCUGCAACUCGACUCCGUGAAGUCGGAAUCGCUAGUAAUCGUGGAUCAGAAUGCCACGGUGAAUACGUUCCCGGGCCUUGUACACACCGCCCGUCACACCAUGGGAGUGGACUGCACCAGAAGUGGUUAGCCUAACGCAAGAGGGCGAUCACCACGGUGUGGUUCAUGACUGGGGUGAAGUCGUAACAAGGUAACCGUA
rnacentral:rRNA from 1 species